UAUUCUUGGCUUGGAGCACCUGAUGAUGAAGCGGCAUAGGGCAGAUUCUGAGCUGAACGGCACAGCCUCUCAGCACUGAUCCUCAGGUUAUGCCGUCUGAAGGUGCGCGGGCCCUU